UAUAGAAAUGAAUCAAAUGUUUGAUCACCAGCAAAAGUUGGAUAUAACUUGUGAAUAUUGUGAGUUAAGUCUUGCAUACAUCAAGUGAAGAACACAAAUGCACUAUACAAAAUCUUGAGGUACUGAGAAGGACUCAAGGUGAUCAAGAGAUUAAUUAGAAAAUCUAUACAUCUAGUUAUUUUAUUUUUGUGGAGGGGAAUCUUGCUACUUGGACAAGCAAGAAAUUAACAAAAGUUUGUGACAAGAUCAAGUGCAAAAAUUGAGUUUCGAGGCUAUACACUAGAGAUCGAUUGUUGAAGUGGAAGUUGAUGGAUCAGAAUAUCUUCCCUUCGAGUGAAGCACAACAGGAAUCAACUGAUCACUUGUUCUUUAAAAUAUUCCUUUUCCGUUGUUGUUUGGAACAUGCUCAUGCGCGGGCAAGUACAUAAUAGGAACACAAUGGAAUUGACAAAGUUAGUGCAUGCGUUGGAUGCUCUCAAGGAAAAUUAAUAGAAAGGAUGCACAUGCUGAACUAUUUAGGAUUAUUGUAGCUGGUGUAGUGUAUAAAACAUGAAUGGAAAGGAACAGUCGAGUCUUUUGGACCAAGAAGAUAAACCAUUCGAUUCUCUGAAGGAAAAUUAUUCAGAUGGUGGUGAUGCGAGGUAGUUUAAAGGCCAAGUUAGCUAGUCGAAUUGCGGAACCAAUUAAUUACUAUCCUUGAAGUACUAUAGCUCAUGUGUAGUUGCUUAACUGGUGGUAUGUUGGGACUAUGUCCAACAAACCAGAUACACGUACAUGAUUCCCUACUUUGGUAUAUCAUUAGUCUAUAUUACCCCAAAAAAAAAGUUUGUUGUAAAAUCUAAUGUUAUUUUUUUAUGAUUGUUAUUUUAA